ensembl:snoRNA SNORD116 Small nucleolar RNA SNORD116
GGAUCGAUGACGACUCCCCAGUAAAUAUUCCUUGGAAAAGCUGAACAAAACGAGUAAAAACUCCCUAUCAUCGCUUUCAGCGAAACUGAGGUCC